UUUCAGAUCAGCAUGGCCAUUAUAUUGAUUCUUAUCUCUUAAAACAAUGAUGUUUCAACCUUUAAAAUUAUUUAUUGCAUUAAUUAUUAAUGUGAUUAUAGCAUUUCAUAAAACUGCAAUAUGAUUGCCGAGUGUAUUGACGUUUUAGUUUAAUGCUUACCAUGCAUAAUUCUGCAUUUUCAGCAUUAUGCAUCUAAAGAGCAUUGUUUUUUCUAAAAGUAAACACUGAUUUCAGGAAUUAGCAGCAGUGUAUAAACCUGUGAAGUACAGUUUAUUUUCGAAGUAAGGGGCAAAAUGUUUACUCUUCCACAGAUGGAAUGAGAUUGUGCUUCUAAUUAGAUGAAAUGGAAUACAGCUUUGUCCAUAGUUUGUUUCUAGCACAUCAUCAGGAUUCUGAAUAUUGAGAGCAUUCAUCAUUGAACAACACAGGUCAAAUCGCUG
rnacentral:misc_RNA from 1 species